UGAGGCCUGUGAUGAAUUUGAACAUUUGCCGACAUCGUCUGAUUGUUCAUGACGGAGAAUUUGGAACUGUACGUUCUGAGGCCACU